GGAUGAUGCAGACAGUUGUGGCAGGCUUUAAUUCCUGCUUGGAGUCUGUCUGUGUUAGGGUUGGAAGCUCCUAGUUGAGGGUUUUAUUACAUGUACCAUGAAAAUGGCACUCUAAACUAGAAGGAGAAGACCGCUGCAUGGAGAGAGCAGAAUGACCACUUAAAGUGAUGACAAAGGAAGAGCUGGCUACUGGCGGGGAGCUCCUGCUGAAAUGAUGCUUGGAAGACAACAUAAUAUACAGUCCCACCUCAAGAAAACUAGCUGAAAGUGAGAACAGCAGUGCUAUGCCUUACCCGCUCUACUGGGAAUCAGGAGGAUCAAUGGAUGGUGAUGAGCAUAUUCCCAAGUAAUUUACUGUGCUG